AGAGUUUGAUCCUGGCUCAGGAUGAACGCUGGCGGCGUGCCUAACACAUGCAAGUCGAGCGAUUCUCUUCGGAGAAGAGCGGCGGACGGGUGAGUAACGCGUGGGUAACCUGCCCUGUACACACGGAUAACAUACCGAAAGGUAUGCUAAUACGAGAUAAUAUGCUUUUAUCGCAUGGUAGAAGUAUCAAAGCAUUUGCGGUACAGGAUGGACCCGCGUCUGAUUAGCUAGUUGGUAAGGUAACGGCUUACCAAGGCGACGAUCAGUAGCCGACCUGAGAGGGUGAUCGGCCACAUUGGAACUGAGACACGGUCCAAACUCCUACGGGAGGCAGCAGUGGGGAAUAUUGCACAAUGGGCGAAAGCCUGAUGCAGCAACGCCGCGUGAGCGAUGAAGGCCUUCGGGUCGUAAAGCUCUGUCCUCAAGGAAGAUAAUGACGGUACUUGAGGAGGAAGCCCCGGCUAACUACGUGCCAGCAGCCGCGGUAAUACGUAGGGGGCUAGCGUUAUCCGGAAUUACUGGGCGUAAAGGGGGGGUGGGUGUUUUUUAAAUCAAGGGGGGAAAAGGGGAGGGAUAACCGUAAGUAAGUACUGAAAAUGGGAGAAGUGAGGGCGGAGAGGGAAAGUGGAAUUCCUAGGAUAGCGGUAAAAUGGUUAGAUUUUAGGAGGAAACACCAGUAGCGGAGGCGGCUUUGUGGACUGUAACUGACACUGAGGCGAGAGAAGGGGGGGGAGCAAACAGGAUUAGAUACCCUGGUAGUCCACGCAGUAAACGAUGAGUACUAGGGUUCGGGGGGUUACCCCCCUCGGUGCCGCAGUUAAACGCAUUAAGUACUCCGCCUGGGAAGUACGCUCGCAAGAGUGAAACUCAAAGGAAUUGACGGGGACCCGCACAAGUAGCGGAGCAUGUGGUUUAAUUCGAAGCAACGCGAAGAACCUUACCUAAGCUUGACAUCCUUUUGACCGAUGCGUAAUCGCGUUUUUCCCUUCGGGGACAGAAGUGACAGGUGGUGCAUGGUUGUCGUCAGCUCGUGUCGUGAGAUGUUGGGUUAAGUCCCGCAACGAGCGCAACCCUUGCCUUUAGUUGCCAUCAUUAAGUUGGGCACUCUAGAGGGACUGCCAGGGAUAACCUGGAGGAAGGUGGGGAAGACGUCAAAUCAUCAUGCCCCUUAUGCUUAGGGCUACACACGUGCUACAAUGGGUGGUACAGAGGGCAGCCAAGUCGUGAGGCGGAGCUAAUCCCUUAAAGCCAUUCUCAGUUCGGAUUGUAGGCUGAAACUCGCCUACAUGAAGAAGGAGUUACUAGUAAUCGCAGAUCAGAAUGAUGCGGUGAAUGCGUUACCGGGUCUUGCACACACCGCCCG
rnacentral:rRNA from 1 species